UACCAGCCCCCUGAGUGGUAAGGAUGAUUAUUUGGCCUAAAGCGUUCGUAGCCGGCUUGACAAGUCUUUUGUUAAAUCCAACGAUUCAAUCGUUGGGCCGCAAAAGAUACUGUUAUGCUAGAGGACGGGAGAGGUCGACGGUAGUCCAGGGGUAGGGGUGAAAUCCUAUAAUCCUUGGAGGACCACCAGUGGCGAAGGCGGUCGACUAGAACGUGCCUGACGGUGAGGGACGAAAGCUGGGGGAGCGAACCGGAUUAGAUACCCGGGUAGUCCCAGCUGUAAACGAUGCGGGCUAGGUGUUGGGGUAGCCACGAGCUGCCCCAGUGCCGCAGAGAAGUUGUUAAGCCCGCCGCCUGGGGAGUACGGCCGCAUGGCUGAAACUUAAAGGAAUUGGCGGGGGAGCACCACAAGGGGUGAAGGCUGCGGUUU
rnacentral:rRNA from 1 species